UACAGAGGUGCCGAGCGUUAGGCGGAAUCACUGGGCUUAAAGCGUGUGUAGGCGGAUGCCUAAGUACCUUGUGAAAUCCCAUAGCUCAACUAUGGAACUGCUUGGUAUACUGGGUGUCUUGAGCCACUUAGGGGUUACCGGAACAAAUGGUGGAGCGGUGAAAUGCGUAGAUAUCAUUUGGAACGCCAAUGGUGAAAACAGGUAACUGGGAGUGUGCUGACGCUGAGACACGAAAGCCAGGGGAGCGAACCGG
rnacentral:rRNA from 1 species